GCGUUAUGGACCCACCUGAUCCCAUGCCGAACUCAGAAGUGAAACGUAAUAGCGCCGAUGGUAGUGUGGGGUUUCCCCAUGUGAGAGUAGGAC
rnacentral:rRNA from 1 species